UCCCCCUCCCCCGCCUCCAGGCUCCAGCAGUCGCCUCGUCAUAAGAGAAAAAGCGGCAGCGCCAAUGGCAUCUGGUGCCGCCCACCUAGUAGUGCUGGCCUCGUGUGCCUCCACCACUCGCCACCUCGUCGCCUCCGCCCCCGCCUCGCCAUGCCCGCCGGCGUGCUGGCCGCAGUGCGCUGGUCCACCGCCUGCUCGGCGCUGCUCAACGCCGCCGCCGCGUCCACCGGCGCGGCCGUCGCGGGCCUCGCGCUCCGGGACCGCUGCGGGGGCGCGCUCGGCCCCGCAGCCGCCGCCGCGUCCGCGGCCUCCGCGGCGAGGCUCCUCGCGUCCGCCGUGGCCGGGUUCGCGCAGGGCCUGGCGGCCAGCGCCAUCGCCGCCGGCGCCAUCGGGGCGCACGUCGACAGCGACCGCGACCUCCGCCAUCUCUCGCGGCUACGAUACAAUAGAUGGCUUUGGUGGGCAAGGUUUGGGAUGGUGAUUACAGUGCUCCAAUUUGUGCUGGCACUUUAUUUGAUGUGUAUUAUUGUAAAGGAUUUCUCAUCUGGGAAGUCAUUGAAGGAGUGUUUUUCAGGACACGACAAGGACGUCAAUGACUGGAAGAACAUCUUGUUAAUGAUUUUUCUUGUUGUCAUGUGGGUGGGAACAAUAGUCCAAUGUGCCACAGGUUCCGAUGUAUUAAGAUGGAGGUCCUUUUAUGCAACCCAUGAUAUUGCAUGGAGGGCUCACUACAGGGAGGUGUUUGAUCAUGGCAUUCGUGAGGUUUUAUGUUGUCUAGGACGGGCGAAGUACUCGAGUGUACUGGAAGAUGACGAUAUAUGUGUUGUGGCAAAACUGUUGGGAGAUAUUAUGGCUUAUCGUGCAUCUGGAACUGGUCACCUUGAGCUCAUAGCAGGGUUUUCAUUGUUGCAGAAAUCCAAGAUGUCAACAGUUCUUUCAAGAGAGCAAGUGGAAGCUCCUCCUGAUCUCAUCCAAGAGGCUAUUCUGUUUCAUCCAUUUGCUGAAGCUGCCUAUACAGGUCCGCUACUUGAUUUUGGGAGGAAUCCUCUUAUGUUUCCCUGUGUUUGGCUCAAUAGGCAAGGUAUUUUAACUCCAUGGACUCGUGCUAGACGACCAAUCCUUGAAGGAGAUAAUUGGUGGAGAGGGCAUGCAGCGGCUUUCCUAAAGUAUGUCAAUGUGCCCCCAGAAGUACUUCGGAAAGGGCGUGUUAGCCAGACAAAACGUGAGGCUGCCUACUUUGUUAUUGUCUUACAUAACUUGAGAACAGUAGUCAUUGCCAUUCGUGGAACUGAGACUCCAGAAGAUGUUAUAACUGAUGGCUUGUGUAGGGAAUGCUCUCUUACCAUGGAUGACUUGGAUGGGCUGAUCAAUUCUGAUCAGUUGCCCCCUCAAGUGAAGGAGACUGUCCUCUCGUCUUUUCCACACUAUGGGCAUGCAGGAAUUAUUGAAUCGGCUCGAGAAUUGUACACAAAGCUUGAAGGGCAGUCCAUUCAUCAAGAUAAGUCAGAGCUGAUGACAGCUGGGUUCUUAUCUUCGCUGCUCGGAGCUGGAUGUGAGUGUGAUGGAUACAAUAUUGAAAUUGUUGGACAUUCUUUAGGAGGUGCUGUAGCUGCACUUCUUGGUAUUAGGCUAUAUAAACAGUUUCCAAAAUUACAUGUCUUUACUUAUGGAGCUGCACCCUGUGUGGAUUUCGUGAUAGCAGAUGCAUGCUCACAGUUUGUUACCAGCAUUGUCCACAACGAUGAAUUUUCCUCAAGAUUAUCCAUGAAUUCGGUAAUUCGAUUACGUGGUGCUGCUAUCAAAGCUUUAUCAAAGGAUACUUCGCCAAAUUCUACUAAAGUUGGCAAACUAGUGGGUGGCUUCACGAGCAACAAAAGGCAUGAUGAACAACACGCUGUGGUUCGAUGUGCUUCUUCUGGUGCUCUUCAGACAGUCAGCGAUGCAAAGCAAAGUAAUGAUCAAAUCCAUGGAAAGAGUGUAAUGCAUACAGUUAGAGGUGGUGUGUUCCUCUUUGGUCAAGCGAUAUCUUGCUUGGUAAAUACUCCAAAACAUAGAAUUAGCUCCACUGCGGUAAUUAACUAUGAGUUGGGACGAUCUAGAACAACAUUAACCUAUAAUGGUGAAAAUUUGACUGUUGCUUCCCGUGGUGUUCUGGAUGGUGCACCUUCUGAAGAACCUAGUGAUGCAUACAGACAUGACAAGUUUCCAGAAGCUGGCUUGGAUGAAUCCGGAAGUAGUUUCAGGUUACCUCAUUCAAAUAAUGGUGCUGAGCUCUCAUCUGCCCCGGAUCACACGUGUACAAUAAGUUUAUCUGAAGGGCAGUCGCCAGAUGUGUACCUCCCUGGCCUCAUUAUUCAUAUCGUUCCCAUAAAGAAUGGUACUUCUCCAUUGCGGAAGACACUUGUGACUCGUCACAAGAACAAGAGUUAUAAAGCAUUUAUAGCGAAUCGGCAGGAUUUUAUGGACCUUGUUGUGACCCCUCGCAUGUUCCUUGAUCAUCUCCCGUGGAGGUGUCACUAUGCCAUGCAAAGGGUUAUAGAAACACGGAAACGGAACCAGCCCAUUCUCAAUUCAUGCAGUGGAGAGGAUUCUGUCUAACUGAAUUUGUUAGGCUGGUACAAAUGUAUCAUUAUGCAGCUUGGCCUCUUCCUUCUGUACAAAUGUAUCAUUAUCCAACUUGACCCCUCACAUGUUCCUUGAUCAUCUCCCGUGGAGGUGUCACUAUGCCAUGCAAAGGGUUAUAGAAACACGGAAACGGAACCAGCCCAUUCACUAUUCAUCCACCGGAGAGGAUUCUGUCUAACUGAAAUCUGUUAGGCUAUUCGCAAAAAAAAGAAGGAAAUCUGUGACGCUGGUACAAAUGUAUCAUUAUUCAGCUUGCCCGCUUCUGUACAUAUACAAGUUAGGGAGCUAUGAUCAUGUACUCUUCACAUGCAUAAGCUAGGAAGCUGUAGAAGGAGCAAGGGCCCAAACGAGCCUUGGGUCCAUCCUGAUGAACGCUACUUGACCUCAGCAUUGUUGUAUUCAACUUUCCUGAUAGCUAGGGCGCGCCCCUCUUAGACAUACCAUCAGGUCAACGGAGACCAGCAUCAUUAUUUAUGACAAGCUUGUAGUAUUAAAUUAAAGCCUCUGGUGUCAACUUUUGCUUCGAGCACUGUUGUAACUUUGACACCAGCACAUGUAUGUUUCGCCUGUAAAAUCUGAACUGCCAUGAACUUGUGGAUGGAAAAUGAUAAGUAUCCAAGUUGUUAUUCUA